rnacentral:rRNA from 1 species
GAUGAACGCUGGCGGCGUGCCUAAUACAUGCAAGUCGAGCGAACAGACGAGGAGCUUGCUCCUCUGACGUUAGCGGCGGACGGGUGAGUAACACGUGGAUAACCUACCUAUAAGACUGGGAUAACUUCGGGAAACCGGAGCUAAUACCGGAUAACAUGUUGAACCGCAUGGUUCAACAGUGAAAGACGGUCUUGCUGUCACUUAUAGAUGGAUCCGCGCCGCAUUAGCUAGUUGGUAAGGUAACGGCUUACCAAGGCAACGAUGCGUAGCCGACCUGAGAGGGUGAUCGGCCACACUGGAACUGAGACACGGUCCAGACUCCUACGAGAGGCAGCAGUAGGGAAUCUUCCGCAAUGGGCGAAAGCCUGACGGAGCAACGCCGCGUGAGUGAAGAAGGUCUUCGGAUCGUAAAACUCUGUUAUUAGGGAAGAACAAAUGUGUAAGUAACUAUGCACGUCUUGACGGUACCUAAUCAGAAAGCCACGGCUAACUACGUG